CUAAGCAUGUGUAAACUUGAAGACAUGCCUUUCAUAAAGGUCAACCGCAGCAGGGAAUCCAUUGGUACCAUUUUAUUUUUCUUGAAGUCAUUCUCCUGGAAUCCUGCUGAGCUGGGACUGAUUUCUUUCCAGAUGUUUUACAUUUCACAGAUGUGACAUAUACCAGAAGAAGAGAAUCCAUGCACUGGAUUUGACACAAGAGUUGGUGCAUUCGGACCUGAAAUCCAGGAGUCAUGAUGCAGUGGCUAUUCGCUUUUGUAACCAGAAGGUAGAACAUGCAUUGCUCAGGACAGCCAGGAGGGGCAGGGACACCAGUGCUUCCUCCUUUCUAUGACACUAUGGAUCCAAGGGCAACUCAAGCACCUUGUGCUCCUAUUUUAAUUUUCUCUUUUCCCCAUCUGUGCCUCAUGAUAACAGGAAAUAGUUAAGAAUGAGGAUGUGCUACUAACAACAUAAUAAAGCCCGAACAUGAAUUUUCUGGUA